rnacentral:rRNA from 1 species
UGGGGAAUUUUGGACAAUGGGCGAAAGCCUGAUCCAGCAAUGCCGCGUGUGUGAAGAAGGCCUUCGGGUUGUAAAGCACUUUUGUCCGGAAAGAAAUCCUUGGCUCUAAUACAGUCGGGGGAUGACGGUACCGGAAGAAUAAGCACCGGCUAACUACGUGCCAGCAGCCGCGGUAAUACGUAGGGUGCAAGCGUUAAUCGGAAUUACUGGGCGUAAAGCGUGCGCAGGCGGUUUGCUAAGACCGAUGUGAAAUCCCCGGGCUCAACCUGGGAACUGCAUUGGUGACUGGCAGGCUAGAGUAUGGCAGAGGGGGGUAGAAUUCCACGUGUAGCAGUGAAAUGCGUAGAGAUGUGGAGGAAUACCGAUGGCGAAGGCAGCCCCCUGGGCCAAUACUGACGCUCAUGCACGAAAGCGUGGGGGAGCAAACAGGAUUAGAUACCCUGGUAGUCCACGCCCUAAACGAUGUCAACUAGUUGUUGGGGAUUCAUUUCCUUAGUAACGUAGCUAACGCGUGAAGUUGACCGCCUGGGGAGUACGGUCGCAAGAUUAAACUUAAUGAAUUGACGGGGUCAUAGCUGUUUCCU